CGAACGCUGGCGGCGUGCUUACCACAUGCAAGUCGAACGGGAUUUAGUAGACAGAAGCCUCGGCUAAAGAUUACUAAUGAGAGUGGCGAACGGGUGAGUAACGCGUGAGCAACCUGCCUAUGACAGUGGGAUAGCCUCGGGAAACCGGGAUUAAUACCGCAUAAAAUCGUAGAAACACAUGUUUCAACGGUCAAAGAUUUAUCGGUCAUAGAUGGGCUCGCGUCUGAUUAGCUAGUUGGUGAGAUAACAGCCCACCAAGGCGACGAUCAGUAGCCGGUCAGAGAGAAGGAGGGCCAACAUGGGAAAUGAGACCCGCUCCAAACCCCUCCGGGAGGAAGAAGUGGGAAAUAUUGCAAAAGGGGGAAACCCCUGAGGGAGCGCCGCCGCGGAAAGAAAGAAGUUAUUCGUAUGAAAAAUUUCUCCCCUAUGGAAAGAUAAGAAAAGACCAAAAGAAGAAGCCCCGGGCAAAAUACGUC
rnacentral:rRNA from 1 species